rnacentral:lncRNA from 1 species
UCAUUUUUUCAUAGCCAUGAACUGACCAACCUAGCUUUUGGGUUCAUUUGUUUGUCAUACUGGUUAAGCUCACAGAGUCUUGUAAUGUGCAUAGUUACAUCUGAUGGGCAAUAAUUUGAUUAAUUUCAAUUUAAAAAUCUAAAGUUGUUAAGAUAUAAAACCAUAUAUAUCAGUAGUAGUUUUGAACUUAUUCUUAUAUUUACAGUAGACAAUUUAUCCCCAAGGAGUACCUCAACUUGGCAUGUUAAGAGAUUUCCCUUGGGCAGCCAGAUCAUUUCCAAUAUCUGUUAUUAUUAGACAGCAGAUUCAAAGAUUUAGAUAUCAGCAGAUUCAAAGAUUUAGAUAUCUGCAGAUUGAGGAACAGUCACAGAUGCAGACACCAGAUGAAGUCCAUGUUCACUAUAAUCACACAGAUUCUUGCAAGUUUUCCAGAUGGACAGCCAGGUACAGUUUCUUCUUUU